GCCCCGCAGGGAGGCUCCGCCGCGGCCGUGACAGCGGGGGCCGGCGGUGUCCGCCCGCCUGCCCCCUUCCUCUGCCGCCUGGCCCCCACCCCGAGUAACUUACGCUCCCCCGCACCUAGGAGGACGGCGGAGGCGGGGGAGAGGCAGCUCCCCGCAGCCCGGCAGGGCGGUGGUGCCGCUGACAGGGGCGCCUGGCGGGCCCGGCCGCCUCGCCGCGGGCCCCGCAGCACCUUGGGGCGGGGGCCGGCUGCCCCUGCCCUCCCCUGAAAGGCACAGCUUCACAGGCCUCGGGGUGCUGUUAGCACAGCCGUGUGAGGGUUGAGUCCUACGUUGAAGGCUAAUGAAGCUUUCAGCUUCGUACCGUACAACCUAAUGCCACGGAGGCAGCGGUAGCCUGUGCUUUGGGGCGUAAAUAAGGCGUUUCGGUGGUUGUCUCAGAAAGUCCAGCGCCACUUAAUUGAAAGAACAAAAGCUUACAGUAUAUGACCCUGGAGCAACUUCCCAGCGAAGUCUGGUAUUUUGUGGUUCUUAAAAACCAGCAGGAGGGUCAGUGGUCCGAUUUGGGCAUGUAAAUUCCUUCAGGAAACAACAGGGAAGCUCUUAAAAAGUGCAGCUUUCCAACCUGUUCAUUCUUCAUAGAAAAUCUAUAAGGAAACCACAAAGUUUGGAAGGGAAAGAAACAUACACAGUUCAACUUUAAGAAGUAUCUUUGGCUAUUCUACAAGAAAACACCACCAGUCUACCCUUGACUGGGUACAAGGGCCUGAAAACUGUUGUAGUUGGCGUAUUUACAUGCAGCGAUCGUGGCAGAACAUGUGAACUGCACACUGGCAACAUCCAUCGUGGGCCAUAAGACUACCUGUUUACAGUUAGCAACCUAAUUAAUCCAUCUGAUUUGCAGAGUUCAAGAAAUAACGGUUUUCUGUACAUCAACUAAAGCUUACACUUAAAAGAAAACUGAAGCCCUGCCUUUGUUCUGAGAUUGUCCAAAAUUAGGUACUUACUCCAAAUAACCACCUUUAUUUUUUUCUACUGUGCUGCAGCCAGUAAAGAUUGCAGAUUCUGUCAUACAGCGCUGAAGGCUAGGAGGAAUUGAUACAGGUUGGUUGCCUCACUGCUUCAGACCUUUGCUCUUUAGAGGGUUGAAAUACACUGUUAACCUCAGGAAAUGGAUUUUAUUUCUGUAUCAUAUUACUGGAGGCAUAGUCAGCUGAUUGAGAUUUGCUGUUGUGCAGCUUGAAACUACGAAGUCAUGCAGAAAAUCAAGUGUUGACAGCUCCUAGCCACGAGGUUAGUACAAAGAAGAACAAAUGACAAAGAAUCAGAAGAAGAGUGAGUUCUGAUAAUGGAUGCCUUCAUGUUAAAUUUCCUAAUCUUAAACAAACUAGGACAAUUCUCCACGGUGAAAACUGAAGCCUUUACUUGAAAACAGAGAUCAAAUACUUCAGACGGAAGAUUCCAAGUGAGAAAACAAUGAAGACAUACUUGGUAAGAAGUAAGAACAGUCCUUCUGGACUAAACUGACCACAAGCUUUUAAAAUUUAAGUUUAAAUGAUGGAGAUCAACUUAAAUUAAUUCCUUGAAUUGUUUAACACAUCAUAUAAAAUAAUAAUCAAAUAAAUUAAUUCCAGAAGCUGGAGAAAGAAAGAAAUGAAAUGAAAAAUUUGAAAGAAUAUAUUUUUCACAUUUGAGCUGAACUUGAAUGUUGCAAACCUAUCCCAAGGCCAAAGAACUGAUAGAGCCCAAAGACAUUUUUGGAAAUCGUUGAACAAUGGAACAUGAGAAGUGCCCACAUUUUGAAGCCUGAGCAGCCGUGCAUGUAACCUCUGCAGGACCAGUGCUUCCAGACGCCUCAACAGGAUGCAUCUCCCAGUAAACUCCACAACAGUAACAAAUCUUUGUGAUUGUCAUUCUUAAAUUCUGAAGCAUAGGGAUUAUCCUGAGCAACUUUCUUUGGCAUCAGUUAAUGCUUGUGAGCAGCUUCUCUUUCUCUCUUUCCAGUUUUUUCUUUAUUCUUUUUUUCCUUCUUUCUUUCUUAUUUUCUUUCUGGCAAGUCUAUAUGAGGUGAUAAGCAGCCUUCACUGCUUUAAGAGUGGAGAGAAUGACAGGCAGAGAAGCACUGCCUUUAUGUAAAGUUGCCUUUCAUCCCAGCUGGGUUUUAGCUUGCAAAGCUGUAUUUUUGAAAGGAAAGGUUGUCUGCCAGCUGACACUGAUAUUUUUAUAUAUAGUGCAUGCUAGAAAAUAGGUCUUUCCACAUUCCCUCCAUUUUUCAAUACAGCUGUUAAGUUUGUCAGUUCUGGAAUAAGGGAUUAAAGAGAAAUUGUGUGGGCCGAUAGGGGCUAUGGAAUGUGUUGAUUAACAUUCCUGGUGAGUUCUGUCCAUGAAGCAGGGACAACAGUAUGGUCUAACCUUGACACUUCAGUCUCUAGCCAUUUCAGCCUUAAGUAUGGGUUCUGAGAUUUAAUCAUUGCUGCUGAUUAUAGCUUUGUAAUAUAGUUAUCAGCCCACAAUAAGUGGAAUAAACAGGCCACGUUCCCUUUCAUGAGUUACCACACAGCCAUCAGAAGAGAGCAACUUUCUGUGGCCAAUGAGCUGAAAAAGAUCAAAGCAAAGUCCUAGAAGCAAAGGCAGAUAAGCCCUGUGAUCCUCUCUCAAACCCAGUCCCUUUGUGUAGGUUUGAGAUUCCUACAAUUGACUUCCUCAGCAGGUCCACGGGGCCAUUCUCCCGAGUAAAGACUGACCUCCACAGCCAACACGCAGGUGCUGUGCUUGAAAGGACCAAUUUAGGUCAGUUGAGAAAAAAAACCCAACAAACUUUUACAUGUGUACCUAUUUUUGAGUCUAGCCAUGAUCUUCAAAUAGCUGUGAAAGGCAGAGAAAGAAAAGCAGAGAUCAUGAAAAAGGAGAUUGUAAGUCUGCAGUUCUUUGGAAGUGCAUCUGGCUUGCUCUGAGGGAAGGAGUGAUGUGCUGGCUACAGAUAGAUUUGGGUUGUUUGCAGCAGAGGUUCUUAGCCUCUUUCAUACCUGGAGACCUUUCUCCUGCCUAGCCAGGCUAUAUAACAAUGUGAGCAGGAAGGUGUGAUUAUGGCCAAGCUCCUUGUAAUCUGGAGAACAGUGAUUUUCAGUUUUAAUUUGUUUUCCUUAUUAUUCAGAAUAUUUUGUUUGUUGAAUGGUUUGUACAGAAUUGGGGGUGUGAAUGACUCUUUACAAGCUCAUAUAGAAAAUCCUUCUUUGUCACAAAUAAUCUGCCUUGCAAGGAGCCAAAUUAUGGGGAAAAGACAUGUAGGAGAGUUGUCAGUUUGCUGCUUGUAGGAUUGUCAUGGGGUCUUGUCUGACAUCUUUCAUUAGUUCUCCCAUGUCUGUAAGCUCAGACUCCUGACAAGAAAGGAAGUAAACUGCAGGUAAGGAAGAAGUCACAUUUAGCUCGGAGGUUCUUGGUGAUUCCUGUCAGGAAUUGUUCAUUGCUGCAGCUGCUGCAGUACUGGCAACAGUAUAUAAUGUCAAUUUUAGUUUAUUGAAGUGGGAUUGUAGUCCUAAAUCAUGCAAGAACAGGUUGUAAGAACAAUAGAGGUGGCAGAUGCCAAGCAGUGCUCUCCCAUGAAAAGUAUUUGAACAUGCAGAAGAAAGGGCUGAGGUCUACAGAAAGCCAAGGGUAGACAGUGAGGCCAAAUAUGUCUCCUGAGAGCUCAGAGGAUGGAUAAGAAAUGUGCCAAGGAGCUGAAACACCUGGGAGCAGGAAAGAUGAAAGAAAGUAGUUGUCAUCUGUGUGUCACUUGCUGCCACACAAAACCCCAGAGCUGCUUCUGGGGAGGGACUGAGCAGGAGAGAAUGCACUGAGAUGGGGAAACACAGAAUGUAAUUCAAUGUUGGCUCAUUGAUUUGGGCUGGAUGUUAAGGAGGUUGCCUACACCACAACCAAAUGGACCCUCCCAAGGAAGGCACUGCGGAGUCCAAGGGGCUCAAUGAGAGAGCAAGCUGCAGCAGCCGUAGUUACCAGUGCAGGAGUGGAUGGAAGGACAGUAGAUGUUUUCAUUACAAAGGCACCACUUUACCUGUUAAUGGCAUAUUCUUUGUUUCUUAGAUUUUUCUGUCAUCCCAUUAAAAUCAUGUGUUGCAUGCAUUCUUAGUUGGGGACUGGCUUUUCCUAUGGGAUUAUUUUAAAAUGAAAAUGCUAAGCAUUACAAACUAAUGUAAAUGACAACAAAGCCUAGAUUCCAGCAUUCACAUGUUACUGCCUACUUUAGGUGGUGAAAUACUUCAUAUUUCAUUUAACUACUAAAAAUUGCUGUUAAAACAAGAAUCUGGGGGCUUAUAGUAAGGUAAGAAUCUGUAUCAGAAAUAUGUCAAUUCAAAUAGCUAUGAAAAUUGGACUUGAUUAAAAUCCAUUCUGAA